rnacentral:tRNA from 1 species
AUCUGGGUGGCUCAGUCGGUUGAGUGUCUGACUUCAGCUCAGGUCAUGAUCUCGCGGUUCGUGGGUUUGAGCCCUGCUUCAGGCU